CUUAUUAUCACUGGAGUGGCUGUGUGUUUGUACAUGAAAAACAAAGGUAGAAAGAAAACAGUGGAUGAAGAUGGUGUGAGCAAAACAGGAGAAGGAGAGAGAAAAGAGGAUAAUCAAUCUGUCAAUGACACAACCGCUCACAAUGACUCAGAUACUAGGAUGGCUGCACCCCUCACUGAAAAAGAGGACAUUUUGACAUAUUCCACCAUCGUCCACAUUGAAGGUGGAAAGAGAGCAGCAGGGAGAAUGAUGGACCAGAAGGGAGACACAGAGUAUGCCACUGUCAAGAUGGGCAGAACCUCCUAGAACCAGUGGUCCUCUCUGUCUCACAGCCUCUUCUAGGUACAAUGUUUCUACCCAGCAUGCUUGUACACUGCAUUUCUGACAGCAUAUUUAGCAACAGAAAAACACACCAAAAAAAACAUGUAAUAUGUAUAUAUUCCUUC